UACGUAGGGCGCAAGCGUUGUCCGGAAUUAUUGGGCGUAAAGAGCUCGUAGGCGGUUUGUCGCGUCUGCUGUGAAAACCUAAGGCUCAACCUUGGGCUUGCAGUGGGUACGGGCAGACUAGAGUGCGGUAGGGGUGACUGGAAUUCCUGGUGUAGCGGUGGAAUGCGCAGAUAUCAGGAGGAACACCGAUGGCGAAGGCAGGUCUCUGGGCCGUAACUGACGCUGAGGAGCGAAAGCAUGGGGAGCGAACAGG
rnacentral:rRNA from 1 species